rnacentral:lncRNA from 1 species
GCAACCCUCACAAUAACAACAGAUGCUUCAAAGACAGGGUUUGGGGGUCACAUGAACAAUCAGAUUUUUCAAGGUUUUUGGUCUGUUCAAGAACAGAAACAACACAUAAAUCUCUUGGAAUUGGAAGCUGUAAUUCGAACAGUACAACAUUUCCUACCACAAUUACAAAAUCAAAAUGUGCUACUCAAAUGCGACAACACAACAGUCGUUCAAUAUGUAAACAAACAGGGGGG